UCGCGGAUCAGAAAAAAGUUCAAGCUAACCGGACGGUCGACCGCCUAAUCAGCGAACUUCACCUACCAUUUAUCUCCCUCAUUUUUCUUUUUCAUUUUACCCUUCUUUUUAUUCUCUUUUGUCUCUGCUAACUAUGGAUCGUAAGCGCUAACAAACUAUCUCAAAAGCACGUAUUAUUAGAAAUAUAUAACUGUUUCACUUAAAGUAUACAUAUACAACUCACAGGUUUCAAUUUUGACUCGAUCCAUCUAAUCUUACGCCACUUCAAAUAUGACUCGGCUAAAUUUGGCCUUACACCAUUUAGAACAUGACUCAGCGCACUUGGCCUCUUGCCACGGAAUAGAAUGCUGACCCAUUUAAGCCAAUAAUCCCUCCUCUAGCAUUUGCACAAAUUUGUAGUAUACAAGAAUCGAACUCAUGAUCUCUGACUCUGAUACCACUUGUGGAUCAUAAACGUUAACUAACUAUCCCAUGCUAAUAGGAAAGGUGCAUCCAUCGCACUUAAGGACUCAACCAAUAGCAAUCACAGGUUUCGACCUGACUCAAUCCAUCUCGACGUGGAGUCUAUUGUUGAGCCUCUUGUCGUUAAGUCUCUUAUGGACUACAGUCUCAUUCAACUUAUUAGGUUCACGCAACUCAACUUAUUAGCCACCUUAACCUAUUAUCGGGGGCAAAAAAUUCGAUAUAUUUUAGACCAAUAAUAAACAGCCAAUACUAACC
rnacentral:lncRNA from 1 species